rnacentral:rRNA from 1 species
AUGUGGACCUGUCUUCGUCAGCGCUAUGAGCCCUCUGGUGAUGCCUUAUACCUUUCCGUGGUUCGUCAGGAGCAUGCUCUUCAGCAGGGUGACUCUACUGUUGAUGACUUUUAUGCACAGAGUUCUGCUAUCUGGCGCCAGCUUGAUUCUCUCCGCAGUGCUGGUUGUCGUACUUGCCCCUGCUGCCAGGCUGUCCAGGCCGAUUUGGAGUUUCAUCGCGUCUACGAGUUCCUGUCUCGGCUCCGUAAGGAGUUUGAGCCCCGGCGUGCUCAGUUGUUUGCUCGUGGCCGUAUUUCUCUCAUGGAGGCGCUUUCAGAGAUUCGUGCUGAGGAGAUUCGCCUACGUGGUGCUGGUUUGCUGGAGGUUCCCUCUGUGCUUGCUACUUGGGCUUCUUCCACUCCACCUGCGGCACCGCCCCAUUCUCGCUCGAGUGCUCCGCCGCUCUUGCCCACUCCUUCUGGAGGCUCAGGUCGCCCUCGUCCACACUGUGACUACUGCAACAAUGAUGGUCAUAUUGAGUCCCAGUGCUACACAAAGCGGAAACACCUGCGCAAGGCGCGCUCAUCCUCCUCAGGGACUUCGUCAUCUCCCUCGCCAGGUUCAGCCAUU